rnacentral:rRNA from 1 species
UACGUAGGGGGCAAGCGUUGUCCGGAUUUAUUGGGCGUAAAGAGCGUGUAGGCGGUCAGGUAGGUCCGUUGUGAAAACUCGAGGCUCAACCUCGAGACGCCGAUGGAAACCAUCUGACUAGAGUCCGGAAGAGGAGAGUGGAAUUCCUGGUGUAGCGGUGAAAUGCGCAGAUAUCAGGAGGAACACCGGUGGCGAAGGCGGAUCUCUGGGCCGAUACUGACGCUGAGGAGCGAAAGCGUGGGGAGCGAACAGG